rnacentral:tmRNA from 1 species
CUUGCAAUUUCCAGUACGAAUAUUUAUAAUGUAUCUUGCCACGCAAGUGGUGAUGAUUCUGAAUUCGUUGCGGAAUAAUCGUUUUGGACUGGGGGGCGGUACCCCACAGCUCCACCAAUAUUUUCUUAUGGGGCUGACAUAGUUUCGACAGGCGAAGUAAAGGCAAAUCGAUUGAAUCCGGGUUGUUCCGUUAUAAACAAACUAAAAACUGAAUGGCGAUAGAAUCGCUGCGAACGACAAUGUUCGCUUUGCAAUGGCUGCCUAAGAUGGCGUUGAAAUACGUUGGCAAUUGUUGAUGUAUUUCGUUUAGCUUUUGCGGGGUUCAUCGGGUACCUGGCACCAGAAACCC